UGUGUGUGUGUGUGUGUGUUGUGUGUGUGUGUGUGUGUGUGUGUGUGUGUGUGUGUGUGUGUGUGUGUGUGUGUGUGUGUGUGUGUGUCGUACAUAUGCUGUUAAAUGAUGUAAACUAUCAUCAUCUUAACACUAAAAACUUGGCAGAUUUGUAACUUUAUCGCAGUGCUGAGGCGAAUGCUGAGCCGGGGCUUUGAGCUGCCCUCCUCAUGCAGCGCGGCUUACCUUUCUCAUAUAUGUUUGUAACUACACCACCCACCACCUCCAUUCCGGUUCCAGCCGUCAUUUCACAUGGCUUUGCACGUGUAUUUUUCUGCUUAGGUUCAGCAGUAUCUGUUAAACGUGCGUGUGUGUGUGUGUGUGUGUGUGUGAGAGAGAGAGAGAGAGAGAGAAUACAGGAGUCUUACAAGGAGUGUCACAUCCCCACACUCCUACACUCCUGCAUCCCUCCCCCUACCCUGACGCCUCCUCAAGUGUAGUCUCAGCCGCUUCCGUUUCCUUUGUAGCCGCAGCAGUCCGGCAGCUGGGUGGCGCCUCGGACCGUUGUCCUGUCUAAAAGCGUCCGUCUGUGGGGAGUGCUUCACACCCCCUCUGUUAUCUUUGUUCAAACUCGUGUAAGAAAGGGUCUAUGGGGGGCUGGUAACACAACUAGAGCAAGCACGUUCAUUAUUUAUCAUUAUGAGUGUACGUAGCGCAUCAUCAAUUGUCUUAUAAUUUAUUACUUAUGAAUUAUUUGGAACCUUGGAAUAGGACGAGAACGGGGACAUGGACGAGUGUUGUUGUUGUUGCUGUGGUGUGGUGAUGGUGGUGGUAAUGACAGAUAUGAUAGAAGCAUUACACAUGACAGACUCACUCACGUCCCUUGAUGAAAAGUUGUUAUUAAGGUCAUACUUACAAGGUGAAGAGAGAGAGAGAGAGAGAGAGAGAGAGAGAGAGAGAGAGAGAGAGAGAGAGAGAGAGAGAGAGAGAGAGAGAGAGAGAGAUUCA